rnacentral:misc_RNA from 1 species
GUAGGUGAACCUGCGGAAGGAUCAUUAGAGAGAAAUUCUGUGGGGGGGUGUGUGGGUUUAUAUGGUUCUUAGGAGCUAUGGGGCCACCCUUUCUUAGUAUCCAAGAGUGUGAGAGUAAGAGUAGAGAGAUUUUUUUGUUUGCUUCGGCAACAACAACCACCAACAACCCACAAACCAAAACCAAAACAAGAACCAAAAAGAACCACAUGUAUAGAGAAAACAAAAACAACAAAACAACUCUAGGCAAUGG